rnacentral:rRNA from 1 species
GAGUGGCGAACGGGUGAGUAAUACAUAAGUAACCUGGCAUCUACAGGGGGAUAACUGAUGGAAACGUCAGCUAAGACCGCAUAGGUGUAGAGAUCGCAUGAACUCUAUAUGAAAAGUGCUACGGGGCUGGUAGAUGAUGGACUUAUGGCGCAUUAGCUUGUUGGUAGGGUAACGGCCUACCAAGGCGACGAUGCGUAGCCGACCUGAGAGGGUGACCGGCCACACUGGGACUGAGACACGGCCCAGACUCCUACGGGAGGCAGCAGUGGGGGAUAUUGCACAAUGGGGGAAACCCUGAUGCAGCGACGCCGCGUGGAGGAAGAAGGUUUUCGGAUUGUAAACUCCUGUCGUUAGGGACGAUAAUGACGGUACCUAACAAGAAAGCACCGGCUAACUACGUGCCAGCAGCCGCGGUAAAACGUAGGGUGCAAGCGUUGUCCGGAAUUACUGGGUGUAAAGGGAGCGCAGGCGGGAAGACAAGUUGGAAGUGAAAACCAUGGGCUCAACCCAUGAAUUGCUUUCAAAACUGUUUUUCUUGAGUAGUGCAGAGGUAGAUGGAAUUCCCGGUGUAGCGGUGGAAUGCGUAGAUAUCGGGAGGAACACCAGUGGCGAAGGCGGUCUACUGGGCACCAACUGACGCUGAGGCUCGAAAGCAUGGGUAGCAAACAGGAUUAGAUACCCUGGUAGUCCAUGCCGUAAACGAUGAUUACUAGGUGUUGGAGGAUUGACCCCUUCAGUGCCGCAGUUAACACAAUAAGUAAUCCACCUGGGGAGUACGACCGCAAGGUUGAAACUCAAAGGAAUUGACGGGGGCCCGCACAAGCAGUGGAGUAUGUGGUUUAAUUCGACGCAACGCGAAGAACCUUACCAAGUCUUGACAUCCCUUGACAGGCAUAGAAAUAUGUUUUCUCUUCGGAGCAAGGAGACAGGUGGUGCAUGGUUGUCGUCAGCUCGUGUCGUGAGAUGUUGGGUUAAGUCCCGCAACGAGCGCAACCCUUAUGGUCAGUUACUACGCAAGAGGACUCUGGCCAGACUGCCGUUGACAAAACGGAGGAAGGUGGGGAUGACGUCAAAUCAUCAUGCCCUUUAUGACUUGGGCUACACACGUACUACAAUGGCGUUAAACAAAGAGAAGCAAGACCGCGAGGUGGAGCAAAACUCAGAAACAACGUCCCAGUUCGGACUGCAGGCUGCAACUCGCCUGCACGAAGUCGGAAUUGCUAGUAAUCGUGGAUCAGCAUGCCACGGUGAAUACGUUCCCGGGCCUUGCACACACCGCCCGUCA